UGGGGAAUAUUGCACAAUGGGCGCAAGCCUGAUGCAGCCAUGCCGCGUGUAUGAAGAAGGCCUUCGGGUUGUAAAGUACUUUCAGCGGGGAGGAAGGGAGUAAAGUUAAUACCUUUGCUCAUUGACGUUACCCGCAGAAGAAGCACCGGCUAACUCCGUGCCAGCAGCCGCGGUAAUACGGAGGGUGCAAGCGUUAAUCGGAAUUACUGGGCGUAAAGCGCACGCAGGCGGUUUGUUAAGUCAGAUGUGAAAUCCACGGGCUCAACCUGGGAACUGCAUCUGAUACUGGCAAGCUUGAGUCUCGUAGAGGGGGGUAGAAUUCCAGGUGUAGCGGUGAAAUGCGUAGAGAUCUGGAGGAAUACCGGUGGCGAAGGCGGCCCCCUGGACGAAGACUGACGCUCAGGUGCGAAAGCGUGGGGAGCAAACAGG
rnacentral:rRNA from 1 species